UAAGUUCAUGUUCUCAGGGCAGU
rnacentral:misc_RNA from 1 species